rnacentral:ncRNA from 1 species
UAAAAACUAAAUAAAGCUUAUAUAAAAGUCAUAAUAAGGAUGACAAGUUUCUACCUGCAACCGUAAAUUCGCAGACUAUAAGCAUAUAGUU